rnacentral:rRNA from 1 species
AGGAUGAACGCUAGCGGCAGGCCUAAUACAUGCAAGUCGAACGGUAAGUAAGGUAGCAAUACUUUACCAAGAGUGACGCACGGGUGCGUAACACGUAUGCAACCUACCCUUUACAGGAGUAUAGCUCGGGGAAACUCGAAUUAACACUUCAUAGUAUAAAUGAAUGGCAUCAUUUGUUUAUUAAAUCUGCGGAGGUAAAGGAUGGGCAUGCGUCUGUAUUAGUUAGUUGGUAGUGUAACGGACUACCAAGACGAUGAUCAGUAGGGGAACUGAGAGGUUGACUCCCCCACACGUGGCACUAGAGAGUACCGGGCCACGACUCCGUACGGGAGCAGACAGGUAAGGGAAUAGUUGGUACAGUGGGU